AUGGCGCAGUCGCCGGCAAGCUCCGCCGUCGCCGCGCCGGCUCCAUGCGAAGGGGAGCGGAAGGCGCCGGCGAUCAACGGGGAGCUGUGGCACGCCUGCGCCGGCCCGCUGGUGUCGCUGCCGCCGGUGGGCAGCCUCGUCGUCUACUUCCCCCAAGGCCACAGUGAGCAGGUUGCAGCUUCUAUGCAAAAGGAUGUGGAAGCUCACGUACCGAGCUACCCCAAUCUUCCCUCAAAGUUGAUAUGUCUUCUGCACAGCGUCACUUUGCAAGCAGACCCGGAUACUGAUGAGGUGUACGCACAGAUGACUCUUCAGCCAGUGAAUACAUAUGCAAAAGAGGCGUUGCAGCUGUCAGAGCUUGCGCUAAGACAAGCGAGGCCACAGAUGGAGUUCUUCUGCAAGACGCUCACCGCGAGCGAUACGAGCACACACGGAGGCUUCUCCGUGCCUCGCCGUGCAGCGGAGAAGAUAUUCCCUUCCCUGGAUUUCUCGUUGCAGCCUCCGUGCCAAGAGCUGCAGGCCAGGGAUAUACAUGACAAUGUGUGGACAUUCCGUCAUAUAUUUCGGGGUCAGCCCAAAAGACAUUUACUUACUACUGGUUGGAGCCUCUUUGUGAGUGGCAAGAAGCUAUUUGCUGGUGAUUCUGUCAUAUUCGUUAGAGAUGAAAAGCAGCAACUUCUACUGGGAAUCAGGCGCGCUAACCGACAGCCCACGAACAUAUCGUCUUCGGUACUUUCAAGCGACAGUAUGCACAUAGGGGUCCUUGCCGCAGCUGCACAUGCUUCUGCCAACACCAGCCCGUUUACCAUAUUUUAUAACCCUAGGGCCAGUCCUACUGAAUUUGUUAUCCCAUUUGCCAAAUACCAGAAGGCAAUGUACAGUAAUCAGAUCUCUUUAGGGAUGCGCUUCCGCAUGAUGUGCGAGACGGAGGAACUAGGAACAAGACGCUACAUGGGUACGAUAACUGGAAUAAGUGAUCUAGAUCCAGUGAGAUGGAAAAACUCCCAGUGGCGCAGCUUACAGGUUGGGUGGGACGAGUCGGCUGCAGGAGAAAGAAGGAACAGAGUUUCAAUCUGGGAGAUUGAACCGCUUGCUGCUCCUUUUUUCAUUUGUCCCCAGCCAUUCUUUGGUGUGAAGCGCCCUAGGCAAUUAGAUGACGAGUCGUUGGAGAUGGAAAGUCUUAUGAAGAGAGCAAUGCCUUGGCUUGGUGAGGAGAUAUGCAUAAAGGACCCUCAAACCCAGAGUGCUACAAUGCCUGGCCUGAGUUUGGUUCAGUGGAUGAAUAUGAACCGGCAGCAGAGCUCCUCAUUAGCUAGCACAGCCAUGCAGUCCGAGUACCUCCGAUCAGCGAGUAACCCUGCGAUGCAAAAUAUUGGCGCUGCCGAUCUUGCAAGGCAGUUAUAUAUGCAGAACCAUCUACUACAGCAGAAUAGCAUGCAGUUUAAUCCUCCCAAACUCCAUCAGCAAAUGAAACCUAUUAAUGAUUUGUCAAAUGCAGCACUUCCAUUGAAUCAACUAGGUGCCAUCAGAAAUCACCAAGAUCAGAAGCAAGAUCAGCAGAGGCAACAGCAGUCCGGUAUCCAAGCAAUUCCCCUAAGCCAGGCCCAGGCUCAAACUAAUAUUGUCCAGGCACAGGUAAUUCUCCAGAAUCAGAUGCAGCAACAACAGCAACAAAAACAACCACCACCAUCACCAACUCAAAACCAGCAUGGGGCCAGUGGCCAGCACCUGCUUCAGUCUCAUCAACUGCAGGACCAAAAUUUGCAAAUGCAGCAGCAACAGCUUUUACUUCACCAACAGUUACAGCAGCAGCAGCAGCUAAAUAAGUUGCCUGGGCAGCUAGCUAAUCUGGCAAGUCAGCAAACACAAUUGUCUGAUCAGGAACUCCACUUGCAGCUGUUACAGAAACUACAGCAGCAGUCACUGAUGUCACAGUCCGCAGUUACACUCUCACGAUUACCAAUAAUCCAAGAGCAGCAAAAUUUUCUUGUAGACAUGCAACAGCAGUUGUCGAAUUCGCAUUCGCUUGCCCAGCAACAAGUGAUGCCCCAACAGGACUGCAGAACUUCUUCAUCGCAGACAACACAACUGCCACCGCCCAUUCAGCAAGAGCAGCAACAGCAGAAGCCUUCACAGAAACAGGUUGCACCUACAUAUGUGUCAGAAGCUGCCUUUGCACAGAUCUCUUCUACCAGUGUGAUCCCCAAAACUGGUAACAGUAUGAUAGUUCCGGGUGCUGCACAAUCUGCUGUUACAGAAGAAAUACCUUCUUGUUCGACAUCCCCUUCCACAGCUAAUGGCAACCAUCUUGUGCAGCCAACCAUUGGCAGGAAUGAUCAUUGCAAAAUCAGCACAGAGAAGGUGCCACACUCUAUUGCUCAGAUGUCAAUUCUGACCCCCAUUGAAGCUGUAUCAGUCACUCCAGUAACGACCAAGGAAUUGCCAAAGUUAAACAAUGGUGUUAAGUCAAGUGCGAUCACCUCGAAAUUACCAAAUGUUGUGUCCGGCCUUCAAAAUUUUAUGAACAAUGCACUGCCAACAGACAACCUGGAAACAGCUUCGUCAGCGACUUCAUUAUGGCCUUCACAAACAGAUGGACUUCUGCAUCAAGGUUUCGCCACUUCUAACUUCAACCAGCACCAGAUGUUCAAAGAUGAACUUCCUGAUGUAGAAAUUCAAGGUGUGGAUCCAAGUAACAGUGCCCUCUUUGGGAUGAACAAUGAUGGCCCGUUAGGGUUUCCUAUGGAAACAGAAGGCUUGUUGGAAAAUGCACUUGAUUCUGUGAAGUAUCAGAAUCAUUUCUCAACUGAUGAUGAGAACAACUACCAGAUGCAAAAGGAUGCCCGUCAAGAGAUAUCAACCUCCAUGGUUUCACAGUCAUUUGGUCAAUCAGAUAUGGCUUUUAAUUCCAUCGAUUCUGCAAUUAAUGAUGGUGCCUUAAUGAACAGAAGUUCUUGGCCUCCUGCUGCUCCACCACAGAGGAUGCGUACAUUCACCAAGGUGUACAAGCGUGGAGCUGUAGGCCGGUCCAUUGACAUCGGUAGGUUCUCUGGAUAUGGAGAACUGAAUCAAGCUUUGGCCCGCAUGUUUGGUAUAGAGGGGCAACUUGAAGACCGACAGAGAAUAGGUUGGAAGCUAGUCUACACAGAUCAUGAGGAUGACGUCCUACUUCUCGGCGAUGACCCAUGGGAGGAGUUUGUGAAUUGCGUCAAGUGCAUUAGGAUCCUGUCCCCUCAAGAAGUGCAGAAGAUGAGUCUGGAUGGUGAUUUAGGGAGCAAUGUUCUGCCCAACCAGGCUUGCAGCAGCUCAGAUGGAGGGAAUACUUGGAAGCCUCGUUACGAGCAGAACUCCGGGAACCCUUCCAUCGGCCCCUAUGACCAAUUCGAAUGA
rnacentral:rRNA from 1 species